CAGUAGCCGCGGUAAUACGUAGGGGGCAAGCGUUGUCCGGAAUUAUUGGGCGUAAAGCGCGCGCAGGCGGUCAUGUAAGUCUGGUGUUUAAUCCCGGGGCUCAACCCCGGAUCGCACUGGAAACUGGGUGACUUGAGUGCAGAAGAGGAGAGUGGAAUUCCACGUGUAGCGGUGAAAUGCGUAGAGAUGUGGAGGAACACCAGUGGCGAAGGCGACUCUCUGGGCUGUAACUGACGCUGAGGCGCGAAAGCGUGGGGAGCAAACAGGAUUAGAUACCCCUGUAGUCCCUGUCUCUUAUACA
rnacentral:rRNA from 1 species